UACGAAGGGGGCUAGCGUUGUUCGGAUUUACUGGGCGUAAAGCGCACGUAGGCGGAUUGUUAAGUCAGGGGUGAAAUCCUGGAGCUCAACUCCAGAACUGCCUUUGAUACUGGCAAUCUCGAGUCUGGAAGAGGUGAGUGGAACUCCUAGUGUAGAGGUGGAAUUCGUAGAUAUUAGGAAGAACACCAGUGGCGAAGGCGGCUCACUGGUCCGGUACUGACGCUGAGGUACGAAAGCGUGGGGAGCAAACAGG
rnacentral:rRNA from 1 species